UAAAAAAAGGUAAGCUACUAAGAGCGAAUGGUGGAUGCCUUGACUGGUAAAGGCGAUGAAGGACGUACUAGACUGCGAUAAGCUACGGGGAGCUGUCAAGAAGCUUUGAUCCGUAGAUUUCCGAAUGGGGCAACCCAAUGUAUAGAGAUAUACAUUACCUAAUAUAGGAGCGAACGAGGGGAAUUGAAACAUCUUAGUACCCUCAGGAAAAGAAAUCAAUAGAGAUUGC
rnacentral:rRNA from 1 species